UUGGGUACAUUGCAGUCGAGCGAACAGAUAAGGAGCUUGCUCCUUUGACGUUAGCGGCGGACGGGUGAGUAACACGUGGAUAACCUACCUAUAAGACUGGGAUAACUUCGGGAAACCGGAGCUAAUACCGGAUAACAUAUUGAACCGCAUGGUUCAAUAGUGAAAGACGGCCUUGCUGUCACUUAUAGAUGGAUCCGCGCCGUAUUAGCUAGUUGGUAAGGUAACGGCUUACCAAGGCAACGAUACGUAGCCGACCUGAGAGGGUGAUCGGCCACACUGGAACUGAGACACGGUCCAGACUCCUACGGGAGGCAGCAGUAGGGAAUCUUCCGCAAUGGGCGAAAGCCUGACGGAGCAACGCCGCGUGAGUGAUGAAGGUCUUCGGAUCGUAAAACUCUGUUAUCAGGGAAGAACAAACGUGUAAGUAACUGUGCACAUCUUGACGGUACCUGAUCAGAAAGCCACGGCUAACUACGUGCCAGCAGCCGCGGUAAUACGUAGGUGGCAAGCGUUAUCCGGAAUUAUUGGGCGUAAAGCGCGCGUAGGCGGUUUUUUAAGUCUGAUGUGAAAGCCCACGGCUCAACCGUGGAGGGUCAGUGGAAACUGGAAAACUUGAGUGCAGAAGAGGAAAGUGGAAUUCCAUGUGUAGCGGUGAAAUGCGCAGAGAUAUGGAGGAACACCAGUGGCGAAGGCGACUUUCUGGUCUGUAACUGACGCUGAUGUGCGAAAGCGUGGGGAUCAAACAGGACUAGAUACCCUGGUAGUCCACGCCGUAAACGAUGAGUGCUAAGUGUUAGGGGGUUUC
rnacentral:rRNA from 1 species